GACGCACACAGGAAGACACACACAUCACAGAGUAACACCGAGAAGACGGAAAGUUCUGAAUGUUCACUAGUUUAAGGACCCUUACCUUUACUCUUUUUAGUUUAAGACCCCUCACGUUAACCGUCAGUUCCUGAACAUUAAUGAUAGCACUCUCCUUGUAGACCUCCUGACCCAUGGACGCCUCGGAACGUCGGGAAAUCUACAUCCCCGAAGACGCUCAGGUGGGGUCCAUCCCCCUCUGGACCAUACCGGACCGGAUCCUGGACCGGAUGGGAGAAGACGCACACAGGAAGACACUCACACAUCACAGAGUAACACCGAGAAGACGGAAAGUUCUGAAUGUUCACUAGUUUAAGGACCCUUACCUUUACUAUUUUUAGUUUAAGACCCCUCACGUUAACCGUCAUUUCCUGAACAUUAAUGAUAGCACUCUCCUUGUAGACCUCCUGACCCAUGGACACCUCGGAACGUCGGGAAAUCUACAUCCCCCAAGACGCUCAGGUGGGGUCCAUCCCCCUCUGGACCAUACCGGACCGGAUCCUGGACCGGAUGGGAGUCCCCCGACCCUCCAACAACCCCUCCUCAUCCAGCUCCCCCUCUCCGUCCCCGGAGGGGACUUGGAUCUCCCCGGUGCUGGUCCGGACGAUGAGCCAUCCUGCGGUCUCCGGGGACAUCGACCCAACGGGGGGGAGCCCCAUUUGGGCCAUGCGGAAAACACUCGCAGACACUCACGGUAGUCCGUUCGAAAUCCCGGUCGUGACGUCGAACCGCCUGGCCUUCGAGGUGCUCCGGGAUUUCCUACCUGGCGCACGGUUCUCCAACCUCACAAGUGGCCCCCGAUCGUGCAUCAGGUUACCUCGGGUGGCCGCUCCUCCCCUCCACCAUGAAGCGGUGCUCGUAUACGAGGGCAACGUCUUCCUGUCCACCAGGAGGCCCAAGCGGAGGAGAGGAGGCGAGCCCUCUUCGGCACCCCCCACGGCUCUGUCUCCGGUCUUCUCUGUCCCGGACAGCACAGCUGCGUCCAUCGGAGAACCUCACCAGACCGAACGCACGCUGAGAAACUCUGGAGGACUACAAGUCCCAGAAGACACUGCUACUUCUAAACCAGUCCCAGAAGACCCUGCUGCUUCUCACCCAGUCCCAGAAGACUCUGCUGCUUCUUACCCAGUCCCAGGAGACCCUCAUUCUCCUCAUCAAGACCCAGAAGAAGAGUCUGAGGACACCCCCUCUGAGACCGCCAGCGCUCCCAACACAGACCACCCAGAAGCAACCAGCAGCCCCCAGUUUGGGGACCAGGACCACCCUAGUGUCUUUGUCCCGCCACAUGAGGGCAGACUCGGAUCAGCUCAGAAGAAUUACAGAGACUGUGACUUCGAAGCGCUGGCACUGGACGAGAAGAUCGCCCAGAUGAAAGCGAAGCUCGUCGAGAGCGAAGCGGCUCUGAGGAGAGGCUGCAGCUGAAGGCCGCAACAGGACCUGUGCACAGGCCCGGCUCUGGGCAAAGGCAGUAUAGGCGAAUGCUACGGGCGCAUCCAGGGACGUCCUUAGGGGGGGUUAAUUAGGAUGAUUCCAAGGGCGCAGCACUGACGGGGCGCCCCAGAGAACGGAUUUCGGAUUAAAUCAUCAAAUUAAGGUGGUUUGUUUCGUUGUUUUGUUGUGGUUUGUUUCUCCAUUUUUACAAAAUCAUUAGAAAGUCUUCCUAUUAUCCCCCCUCUCGUUUGUCAUUAUUGGGUACAGCCCAAGUCUCACGCUUCUGCAGAGCAAAGUAGCAGCCAGGCAUAUCGUGGUGAAGCAAGUGCAGACUGCUAGUGUCUUAAACUAGCAGUCUAAAGUCAGUUUGUGUGUAUCCCGGUCGGUGAAAUCAAGAAGUCAGGUUGUCAGGGGAGGAAAGAGAGAAAGAGAUAGAGGAAAGAGCUCCAACCGGUCGACAGUUCGUCACCCAGUUUUUUACCAAGAAACUUUCCCAACAACCUGAUAACAAGCCUAGCCUAGCAGCUAGCGCUACUGUAGCUAAAAUAAUUACAGCCUGCACUGGGUGAUAAAACUGAAAAGAUCGUUUGCAUUACCAUUCACAUGAUAUCCAAUAGCCUACCUAUCUACAAAAAGCCUACAUUAUUUUUACAAGUCGAGCGGACUAUUUAAUAUCUCCCGUAUGCAGGCGUUGCCAAGCAACAUGGCCAUAGCGUCUCAUAGGGUCAACGUCUUUCCUAGGUGUAAAGUAACACUUUUUAACCUACACCCUCCAGCCAAUCAGAAUCGGGUAUUCAUCCAGACCAUGGUAAAAAUGGAGAUAAUGCAAUGAUUAAUCAGAAUCAGAAUCAGAAUCGGUUUAUUGCCAGAUACAUUUACACAUAUGAGGAAUUUGUCUUGGUAUUCGUAUCCGUUGCGCACGAUCUUAACAAACAAUAAACAGUAAACAAUAAACAAUAAGCAAGUAUUGAAUAAUAAGUACUGAAAAAGAUAAGAGUAAAUAAAAAAUAUAGUAAAUAAAAAAUAUGUCGCACCCCACAGUCCGCGACAGUCUUCCCAUAAUGACCAAUAUUAUACUAUAGGUGUCCGGGAAGCCUAACCCAGACAGAGCUCCAAGUGUCCACACAGAACGUCCCCAGAUGUGCCCCUUCGUGACGUCAGACUACUUCUGAAAAGACAGGCUGACGUCACGAACAGAACGCCACUUGCGUUCAGCAGAGGUGAACGUUCAGUGGUUUGGGGAGGAUGCCAAAAACAUCGGGUUCUACCAAUUCUUUCAUUCAAUUGGUGACUUGUUUCAGUAACGGUGAUAUAAGGCAUAUGUUUACGAAUCAUCAUAUAAGACAAAUGACCACGUUUAAAACAAAAGAAAAGUGGUUUGGAGUUCACUGGCUCUUAAACAUCCCAGUGUUCACAUCACGCCUCCCAGCUGGAGGCGACGAGAUAUCCAAGCCCCGUAGGAACCAUUGACCCCAAACCAUGAUCGUUUCAGCCUCUCGCUGCAGAUCAGCGGUGACUCGCUUCCGUUGAACAUAACUAUCAAACCCACAAAGUGUCCGGACCAAUCAGCGCAAUGGGAAGGUAUGUGUUGGUACUCUUCGGAUGUGCUGAGCUAAGCCGUUUCUCCAGAUCUCAGCAUCUGCCACCGAAAGUCUGCAAGACCUAAAGCGCACUCAGGGUUUUGAGGCGAUGCCGGGUGUCACCACUAGGGGGCAGUAGGACCCAGCAGGCGGCACGAUAAGAAUAUAUUUUAUAAUAUUUCGGUAUAUAGGAGGCGUUCCCUUCCCAUAAGAGGUUAUUCAAAAUGUUAAGAUAUGUUUCCUUUAUUUGGUUAAAAAAUAAAUAUAUUUGUACCUG
ensembl:lncRNA